GGCUCCAGGGGGGCAUCUCCUCUCUCCUCCCCUCCCCUCAGCAUCCUAACACUCCCUCUGCUGCUGAGCUGUGGUACAGAGUGGAUGGGUCCGAGGAGCACGUUGACAGCUCUGGCCCGUGUGUGUGAGCCCGCCUGCAUACAUGGAUAAAAGGAUCUCCCAGGUUCUGUUGAUGUGGAAGUUCUGCUACGCUGCCUUCUCUCCCGAUCAAACAUCACAGUGCUGAUUGUUAAGCAUCGUCUUGCUUUCCCACGUUUGUUUCCAAGCGUAAUAAAGCUACACUGUAUUAAACA